UUGAAAGGGAAACGAUUGAAGUCAGUCGUACCAGCGGGAAAUCAACCUUUCGAGUGGGGGUUUUGGAGUUUUGAAGAGUUUCAAAACCUUUGAGAUUUCAAAAAUUUCGCUCUUUUGGUGCACUUUCUCGUGGGUAGGUUAACAUCGAUUUUGAUCAUCAUAAAAAGAUUGGAGGAAUGUAGCUUCGAUCUUGUAUUGAAGUGUUAUAGCCUUUGGUAAAUGUGAUGAUUAGGAUCGAGGAUUGCAACGAAUACCCUUCUGGGCUAUCCGCCUGAUCUCUGAUACGUGGCCUUGGCAUCGAAAGCUUGCUUAUGGUAUCAAGGUAUUACGGUCAAAAGGUUAGAACGGAUUACAUUCGUUAAGGAUGUUGACGUA
rnacentral:rRNA from 1 species